rnacentral:rRNA from 1 species
UACAGAGGGUGCAAGCGUUAAUCGGAAUUACUGGGCGUAAAGCGUGCGUAGACGGUUAUGUAAGUCAGAUGUGAAAGCCCCGGGCUCAACCUGGGAAUUGCAUUUGAGACUGCAUAGCUAGGGUGCGGAAGAGGGAAGCGGAAUUUCCGGUGUAGCGGCGAAAUGCGUAGAUAUCGGAAGGAACACCAGUGGCGAAAGCGGCUUCCUGGUCCAGCACCGACGUUCAGGCACGAAAGCGUGGGGAGCAAACAGG